UACGGAGGGUGCGAGCGUUGUCCGGAAUCACUGGGCGUAAAGGGCGCGUAGGUGGCGCGGGCAGUCAACGGUGAAAGUUCGGGGCUCAACCCUGAAUCGGCCGUCGAUACUCCCGGGCUUGAGCACUGUAGAGGCAGAUGGAAUUCCGGGUGUAGCGGUGGAAUGCGCAGAUAUCAGGAGGAACACCGGUGGCGAAGGCGGGAUCUCUGGGCCGAUAUUGACGCUGAGGAGCGAAAGCGUGGGGAGCGAACAGG
rnacentral:rRNA from 1 species